rnacentral:rRNA from 1 species
AACUGUGUGCGGUGGAUCACUUGGCUCGCGCGUCGAUGAAGAGAAUCCCGCGGCCAUGCGGCCGGGAGCAGGAMYC